UGUUCUGGAUUUCUUCGCCGGAG
rnacentral:snRNA from 1 species